UACGUAGGGGGCAAGCGUUGUCCGGAUUUAUUGGGCGUAAAGAGCGUGUAGGCGGCCACACAGGUCUGCUGUGAAAACUCGAGGCUCAACCUCGAGCUGUCGGUGGAAACCGUGUGGCUAGAGUCCGGAAGAGGAGAGUGGAAUUCCCGGUGUAGCGGUGAAAUGCGCAGAUAUCGGGAGGAACACCUGUGGCGAAAGCGGCUCACUGGACCACAACUGACGCUGAGGCGCGAAAGCUAGGGGAGCAAACAGG
rnacentral:rRNA from 1 species